CCUUCUUCCUGAAACUGCCGUCUGAAAGCAAGUAAUGCAGUGAACACAAGCACGAUGGGGACAAGCACAGCUUGGGGGGUGGGAAUUACCAACUACUUGUAAUGGUUUGUUUUAAGUCCCUUAAAACAAGUGCAGAGAAGCAGGCAGUCACAAGAACUAGGUUUGUCAGAUUUCCAGUAAGAACCUGAAGAAUGUGGACUAGGACACACAGCAAGGAUGACCACUGAUUCAUGCCCCUUUGCACAUCCAUGGCUAUCAGGGCUGCUAAAACACCUGUAGUAUUUGCUGCUACUAGAACCCUAUUUGAACCCACUGCUGGUCUGCGCGGAGGCAGUGAAGGAGGAGAUGCAAACCAGCUCUUGUUCGGAGCGUGAAGCUCAGAUAAAGCAGAACUGGACGAAGAUGGGUGGUAUCUGGCAUUUCCAUUCAUGCCACUGUCUUUCUGAUGACAGCAUCUGUGCCCAGUGACAGCUGAAGUCAGCGAUUCUUAACCAGAGUGCUGCAGCACCCUGGGUGCCUUGAGAUGGACACUUCCAAGGUUGCCACGGGGUGCCACAACAUGGUAGUGCUGUUAGGUGUGCAAAUAUGGUUCACAAGAUAAACUCAGCGAUUCCAAACACAAUAUCAAAGGAUGUUAUAAAUUAAUCUGACCCGCUGUGGUAUUUCCAAGGUCUUUGCAACAUAAGAUUCACUCUAUUUUUCUGUAGUCAGAAAACAAGUGAAAACUAAGAGCCAGCAUUUUCUGAGGGGUAGGGGGAAAGGCUUUUGUCUAAAAAGGUUGAGAAGCACUGGUUUAAAUGACUGCAUCCAUUUUGCAGCCUUGCAAGGUCUGCACAGAGCUGCUGGAAGCAUCAGAGGUUAUUUGACAACCAGAAAUAAACUUGGGUUUAAACUCCCCA